GAUGAACGCUAGCUACAGGCUUAGCACAUGCAAGUCGAGGGGCAGCGAUAUCGAAAGCUUGCUUUCGGUAGCCGGCGACCGGCGCACGGGUGAGUAACGCGUAUCGAACCUGCCUCAUACUCGGGAAUAGCCUUGCGAAAGUAAGAUUAAUGCCCGGUGUUUUCAGAGUCCCGCAUGAGGCUUUGAACAAAGAUUUAUCGGUAUGAGAUGGCGAUGCGUCCCAUUAGCUUGUUGGCGGGGUAACGGCCCACCAAGGCAUCGAUGGGUAGGGGUUCUGAGAGGAAGGUCCCCCACAUUGGAACUGAGACACGGUCCAAACUCCUACGGGAGGCAGCAGUGAGGAAUAUUGGUCAAUGGGCGGAAGCCUGAACCAGCCAAGUAGCGUGCAGGAAGACGGCCCUCCGGGUUGUAAACUGCUUUUAGUUGGGAAUAAAACGGGGCUCGUGAGCCCCCUUGCAUGUACCAUCAGAAAAAGGACCGGCUAAUUCCGUG
rnacentral:rRNA from 1 species